rnacentral:rRNA from 1 species
GCAGGCCUAACACAUGAAGUCGAGCGGUAACAUAUAAAAAGCUUGCUUUUGAAGAUGACGAGCGGCGGACGGGUGAGUAAUGCCUGGGAAUAUGCCUUGAUGUGGGGGAUAACCAUUGGAAACGAUGGCUAAUACCGCAUAAUGCCUACGGGCCAAAGAGGGGGAUCUUCGGACCUCUCGCGUCAAGAUUAGCCCAGGUGGGAUUAGCUAGUUGGUGAGGUAAUGGCUCACCAAGGCGACGAUCCCUAGCUGGUCUGAGAGGAUGAUCAGCCACACUGGAACUGAGACACGGUCCAGACUCCUACGGGAGGCAGCAGUGGGGAAUAUUGCACAAUGGGCGCAACUGAAUGCAGCCAUGCCGCGUGUGUGAAGAAGGCCUUCGGGUUGUAAAGCACUUUCAGUCGUGAGGAAGGUUAGGUCGUUAAUAGCGUAAUUAUUUGACGUUAGCGACAGAAGAAGCACCGGCUAACUCCGUGCCAGCAGCCGCGGUAAUACGGAGGGUGCGAGCGUUAAUCGGAAUUACUGGGCGUAAACGCAUGCAGGGUGGUUUGUUAAGUCAGAUGUGAAAGCCCGGGGCUCAACCUCGGAAUUGCAUUUGAAACUGGCAGACUAGAGUACUGUAGAGGGGGGUAGAAUUUCACGUGUAGCGGUGAAAUGCGUAGAGAUCUGAAGGAAUACCGGUGGCGAAGGCGGCCCCCUGGACAGAUACUGACACUCAGAUGCGAAAGCGUGGGGAGCAAACAGGAUUAGAUACCCUGGUAGUCCACGCCGUAAACGAUGUCUACUUGGAGGUUGUUGCCUUGAGCCGUGGCUUUCGGAGCUAACGCGUUAAGUAGACCGCCUGGGGAGUACGGUCGCAAGAUUAAAACUCAAAUGAAUUGACGGGGGCCCGCACAAGCGGUGGAGCAUGUGGUUUAAUUCGAUGCAACGCGAAGAACCUUACCUACUCUUGACAUCCAGAGAAGCCAGCGGAGACGCAGGUGUGCCUUCGGGAACUCUGAGACAGGUGCUGCAUGGCUGUCGUCA